rnacentral:rRNA from 1 species
GAUGAACGCUGGCGGCGUGCCUAAUACAUGCAAGUCGAGCGAACGGACGAGAAGCUUGCUUUUCUGAUGUUAGCGGCGGACGGGUGAGUAACACGUGGAUAACCUACCUAUAAGACUGGGAUAACUUCGGGAAACCGGAGCUAAUACCGGAUAAUAUUUUGAACCGCAUGGUUCAAAAGUGAAAGACGGUCUUGCUGUCACUUAUAGAUGGAUCCGCGCUGCAUUAGCUAGUUGGUAAGGUAACGGCUUACCAAGGCAACGAUGCAUAGCCGACCUGAGAGGGUGAUCGGCCACACUGGAACUGAGACACGGUCCAGACUCCUACGGGAGGCAGCAGUAGGGAAUCUUCCGCAAUGGGCGAAAGCCUGACGGAGCAACGCCGCGUGAGUGAUGAAGGUCUUCGGAUCGUAAAACUCUGUUAUUAGGGAAGGACAUAUGUGUAAGUAACUGUGCACAUCUUGACGGUACCUAAUCAGAAGGCCACGGCUAACUACGUG